rnacentral:rRNA from 1 species
AGUGGCGGACGGGUGAGUAACGCGUGAGAAUCUGCCUUCAGGUCCGGGACAACAGAGGGAAACUUCUGCUAAUCCCGGAUGAGCCUUAGGGUAAAAAAUUUAUUGCCUGGAGAUGAGCUCGCGUCUGAUUAGCUAGUUGGUAAGGUAAAAGCUUACCAAGGCAACGAUCAGUAGCUGGUCUGAGAGGAUGAGCAGCCACACUGGGACUGAGACACGGCCCAGACUCCUACGGGAGGCAGCAGUGGGGAAUUUUCCGCAAUGGGCGAAAGCCUGACGGAGCAAGACCGCGUGGGGGAGGAAGGCUCUAGGGUUGUAAACCCCUUUUCUUUGGGAAGAACAAAAUGACGGUACCAAAGGAAUCAGCCUCGGCUAACUCCGUGCCAGCAGCCGCGGUAAUACGGAGGAGGCAAGCGUUAUCCGGAAUGAUUGGGCGUAAAGCGUCCGCAGGUGGCAAUGUAAGUCUGCUGUCAAAACCCAGGGCUCAACUCUGGUCAGGCAGUGGAAACUACAUAGCUAGAGUUCGGUAGGGGCAAAGGGAAUUCCCGGUGUAGCGGUGAAAUGCGUAGAGAUCGGGAAGAACAUCGGUGGCGAAAGCGCUUUGCUAGACCGAAACUGACACUCAGGGACGAAAGCUAGGGGAGCGAAUGGGAUUAGAUACCCC